rnacentral:rRNA from 1 species
UGGCCUACGGGGCGCAGCAGUGAGGAAUAUUGGUCAAUGGGCGGGAGCCUGAACCAGCCAAGCCGCGUGAGGGAAGAAGGUACAGCGUAUCGUAAACCUCUUUUGUCAGGGAACAAAGGCGGGGACGUGUCCCCGGAUGAGUGUACCUGAAGAAAAAGCAUCGGCUAACUCCGUGCCAGCAGCCGCGGUAAUACGGAGGAUGCGAGCGUUAUCCGGAUUUAUUGGGUUUAAAGGGUGCGCAGGCGGUCUGUUAAGUCAGCGGUAAAAGUCCGGGGCUCAACCCCGGCCCGCCGUUGAAACU